UACGGGGGGGGCAAGCGUUGUUCGGAAUUACUGGGCGUAAAGGGCUCGUAGGCGGCCAACUAAGUCGGACGUGAAAUCCCCAGGCUCAACCUGGGAACUGCGUCCGAUACUGGAUGGCUUGAAUUCGGGAGAGGGAUGCAGAAUUCCAGGUGUAGCGGUGAAAUGCGUAGAUAUCUGGAGGAAUACCGGUGGCGAAGGCGGCCCCCUGGGCCGCGCCUGACGCUGAGACGCGAAAGCGCGGGGAGCGAACGGG
rnacentral:rRNA from 1 species